rnacentral:lncRNA from 1 species
UCAAGGGUUGGAUCAAUUAUUUGCCUCUAUUUUCCAAUACCUAGCAGAACAGAAGCAUAUCCCAACUUGUCGAGUCAAGGGAAUCAUCCUCUGGAGUGCUUUUGGUGAAUUACACAAUAUCCACCAGCCUUUAUGAGAAGUCAUUUUGUUGGCAGAGGGCUGCUCUGACAUCCUGUGCAUGUGAGAGGCAAGAAGACCACCUGAAAGAGAAGAAAUAUAGAUGCCCCAGAGAGACUGUCUUUUCUACAGGAUUUGGAAAAUGAAUCACAAAUCCAAAUAUCCCCACAGAGGCAGAAUGCUAAAAACCUUCAUCUCAGAUUGACACAGUUUAGAGAUUUGAAAGCCCACUUCUCCUUUUACCAUGUCAAAUUAUAACAGGAAAAAUAAAAUGCUGAUAUGAGUCUCUAA